UGAACCAGAAGAAUCUGCUGUAUAGUGCCUGGGGUCUAUUCACAGGGCUGUAGCUGUUAGAUUGCCUUUUUAUUUUUUCAUGUUUUCCCUUUCUAUAUUACAUUGGAAAUUGAGACUGAGCUUCAAUCCACAGUAGUAGCCUGUGGCAGUGGGUGGGCUCCUUUGGGAAAGCAGUCUGCACAGGAAUCCUGAACAGAGCCCUUAAGAAUAUGGAUGAAAAGAGAAGAGCUCAAAUAUGAAGAGAAGUAUCUAGAAGAGGCUUUAGCAUGGUCUAGAGUGCAACAUGCAACUUUACCCUCAACGAGGGUGGCUGAAAAAGAGUGGAAAAACAGGCAUCAUGGAAAUAAAGUUAAUGGAUGGAUCCUUUCCACUGGGGCUUUAAUAAACAGUUGGUUUAGGGAUUGUUAAAGCACUCACUAAAUAUCAUUGUGAAAGGGAAAGAGUACAGUGUCUAUUCUGUAUAAUUUAUAUGCUUGUAAACUGCUGUUACUGCUCUGUCAAAAAAUUAAGCACACUGCUUUUCUCAAUAGUAAUUUACUUACUUUUUAUUAUGUAUUUAACCAGCUGAGGUCUAACCUACAUGCAAUUAUCCAAACUACAAGAGUGGUCUGGAUAAAUAUUUAGGGUGCUUGGUGUCAUUUUCUGACAUGUGACUGAAGCUCUUAGCUUGUCCCACCCCUAAAGUGACCAAAUUAAUUUAAUAGUGCUUUUAUAUUGGCCUUCUCCAACAUAGAUAUUCCUUAAUUCAGAAGUUCUGCUAGAUUUAGUUAAUUUUAAAGUGUAACUGAGUUUAUGAUCAUAUAUAUGCAUGUGUAUGUGUGCACACGCACCAUUUUAAUAAACAUGUAUAAUUAAUACCAGAGGAUUAAUAAGAAUCCAUUGGACUUUUAGAAAUCAUCUACAAAAAUACACCUGCCAAUGAUUGUCUAAUUAACAUGAAAGCUUCUGCCUAGUGUAUGAAAUAAUUGCUUUAUCAUCUACAUUGUUUAUUCAUGCAACAUUUAGUUAAGAGUGGAGUGAAUAUUUGGUUUUUAAAAUUAAUUUUCUUAGGUUAAGUCUUUUUUUUUUUUGGAAAAGGAAUCAAGCUCACAAAUGCUUACCCAAUAUGUGAACCAAUUACAAUGCUUUUUCAUGGGGUAUUUUUUUCUGCAUAUAACAUUUUUGCCAUUUGAAAUCUGAUCACGUUGCAUAUUUGUAUAUAGGUUGUUGGUCUAAAUUCCUAUUUUAAAAAUAACAAUAAAAAACAUGUUCAGCUUUUGGGCUUUUACUUUUUAUUUUGGUUUCCUUUUUAAACACUCAAUUUGGAUUAGGUUUGGAUGUUUUCUUUCCCCUUAAGCUCUUCUGAAAAAAAAAAUGUAGAUUUAACAACAUCAUGUUAAUAUGUGCAGUUAGCCGGCUGUCCAUACUUCAGCUUAAAUGAACAACUGUAAAUGUUUUGUAAAAUACAAGUUACAAAUCAGUAUCAGAGUAAAACCACUCAGGCUCCUCCUCUGGCAUAAAAUAACACCCAAUAAACACCAAUACAUCAAUUAAGGAUGUUUUCCUCCAUAAGUGUACCUUUAAAAUGGGGGUGGGGAAACUUUCAAAACAAAAUCGUUGAAAAAUCAGUUCAACUUUCAUUUUUCUGGCAAGCCUUGGCUAUAACAUUCCAUGUGGGAAAGCGCAAGAGUGAAAAAUGGGAGGUCAAUGUAAUAUUUAGAGACUUAUGGGGUAAAAAUAACCUUUGAAAAGUGCUAAGCAUCUUGAGUUCUGCGAGGCAUUGCAUGCUUGAGACUCCUUGAUUCCCAGUGAUGCUAUUCAGUGCUUUAGGUGCUUCAAGGUCAGGAAAGGGAAGAUAGAUGCAGAGACCUGUCUUUGGUAAAGGGGGAGAUGAAAGAAAACUGUAGCAGGUGGCAAAAGAGACCAAUACAGAGGUAACUUGUCUUCAUGGAAGGUUUGCUGAAUGAUCUACGUAAAAAUAAGGUAUUGAGGAAGGAACAGGCUAUAAGGUUUUGCCUUUAGAGAGUUGGAUACUGGAAAUCAAACACAUAUUUUCCUAGGAACUUUUUCUCCAUUUGUACCACAAGUCAGGAAGUGGAAUACUGCAGUAAGCAGCUGUAGUCAGUGUCUACAUCACAAUUACUCUCCUGUUGGGACUACAAUGCAUUCAUACACCAGCUGCAAAAAAUCAACAAAUAUUAUAAUAUGCAACAGCAUAUUUGUAGAACAGAAACAAUUGCUGCAAAAUAAAUGCUAUGAGGUCCCUGUAGCAACCCAAAUAGCAGAGCAUUCAUACCAAAGAAGAAUAAGAGAAGAACUGGAUGUUGCUACAGAAUCCAUUAUUAUGAAAGUGAGAGUCAUGCGGCUAACCAGCAAACUGACCUUUCUAAACAACAAUAGGAACCGUC